AGGAGCUAUGGCCCGAAACUUUAAGGACAGAAUUAAAGAGCAUAAGGACAAUAUUUCUAAAGGAAACCUUACCACCGCCCCAGCGCAAAGAGCUUACGAGAACAACACAGAGAUCUUUUGGCAAGACACUGAAAUUAUAAAAAAUGUGCACGAUCGGAAAAUGUUACUGAUGACGGAAAAAAUCAAAAUCUUAAAGAACAGUAUUACUAGUAAUAUUAUUAACAUCAGACAAGCCGACGGAAUGAGCGCAGCCUGGAGGUAUGCAAUACGAAAUAACGUUCAAUGAAUUUUUUAACGAGUUUUAUUGACUCCCCCGUAGAAGAGAAAAUUUCUUCCACCUUACCCCCACUUAAUAAGUUUUUAAUUCUAUGUUAUAUUAUGUCACUUUUAAUUAUUAAUGUUAAAUUUUAUUCCUCUGUUCUAGAACUUUUCAAAUCGCAUAUUUCUUUACUAUGUUCUCUUCAC
rnacentral:lncRNA from 1 species